AUAAAAAAAUAAAUAAUAAAAUAUUAUUAAAGGAAUUGUGUUUGAGGAUGUUUUUAAUGAUAAAUGUAGUUUUGUAAAAUUAUUUUAUUUAUUUGUUUUGUUUAAGUUGAAUAAUAUUUUUAUGUAUGUUUAGUAGAUGUUUUUUUAUAUUAAAUGAUUUUUAGAUAUUUUUAUUAAUUAUAUAAAUUUAUUUUGGAAUUG
rnacentral:misc_RNA from 1 species